rnacentral:rRNA from 1 species
UAGCAUAUCAGUAAGCGGAGGAAAAGAAACUAACAAGGAUUCCCUUAGUAGCGGCGAGCGAACAGGGAUGAGCCCAGCACCGAACCUCGCGCCCGGUUGAGCGGGUGCCGAGGAAUGUGGUGUUCGGGAGGAUCGUGCGCGCCUGUCCGGUAUAUAUCGUCCAAGUCUUCAUGAACGAGGCGAGCAAACCACAGAGGGUGUCAGUCCCGUAGCUUAGACGAGCCGAGACCGUGCAUCGGAUCCCUUCCCAAGAGUCGGGUUGCUUGAGCGUGCAGCCCUAAGCGGGAGGUAAACUCCUUCUAAGGCUAAAUAUCGCCACGAGACCGAUAGCGAACAAGUACCGCGAGGGAAAGUUGAAAAGAACUUUGAAGAGAGA